CUUUGUGCUUGCUUUGUUGGAAUUACAAAAUAUGCCAAUUUUUCCAUUCCUGCCAAAUACUAAUUAGCAAGACAAUUAAAAAAAACCAAAAAAAACCCCAAAAGAGACCCUUACUGUUACUGGCAGAAUUUGUAGCUAGAGUGGUUUCUUUCACUGGGAUAAAAUGAAAUGAAGUGGCUUUUUGGGUAAGGUUUUGGCUGCUUGAAGUCAGUAACCCAUAGCUCAUUUUCAGUGCAUGUUUUUGUAGGAAAGAACAGGCUGACAGCAGAUUUUCAGAGAUACUGUCCUGGAUUUUGCAAAGAAUCAUUUGCUCAAUUUUGAUAUGUCACACAACUUUCUCAAAUCGUUCUUUAGUGCAGAAUGAGAUAGUAAUUGAAUUAAUUGCAGAUUUUUGAAGAAACAUGUCUUGUUACAAGUGAGCAUGAUGACCAGUGAUUUUCUUUGUGUGUGCAAUAGGUAAUUUCUGUGCACAGAUUCCUUCCAGACAGAAAAAUCCCAGCCAAAUCUGUCAAUGCAUUUGGACCAGGUCACAUUGAAAAAGUGUGAAAGCAUGUUCAGUUAUUGUAUAUACAAUUUCCCUUUGUCCUUCUGUCCCAGGUGGGAGUUGUGUGCCUGGUUACCAUAGGAAUGCAACAAGGAAGCUUCUAAAUAAAACACAGUUAAUUUAACUAAGCAACUUUUGAUGUCACUGCCUGAUUGCUUUCAUCUACCACAUCCAAAAGGCAGAUAUUUGGAUAUAAGCUUCAGCCAGCAAAGUUACAAAACCCUGAGAAAACUCCUGGAGGAAAGGCAAGUUUAUUUGCAGCCAUGUGUAAAUGUGCAGCUCAGAGGGGAUGAGUGUUUUUAUCUCUUUGUACAGCCUGCUCUUACAAGACAGAUACAAUUCUUGUCAGGCAGUGCGUGCUGCAUGGCUGAUGGGAUCUGAACAGGCUUUUCAUGCCCACUGCCUUCUACUCUUCAUCACUUCUGCUCUCUCGUGAUGAAUGUGUUCCCUUGCAGCAACCUUAAUUGUUUUCUGAGGGUUAGAAGAGUGAUCAUAAUCGCAGCUGUUGUGAAUUUAAUUCUGAUCUGCAAAGAGACUGCGCUCUUCUCAUUGUGAAAUUCAGAGUACAAAGACCAUGGCAGCAGUAGGAAAAAGACGAAAACUCCCAGCUGAAAUAAUGCCCAGAAAUUGCAUUCACUCAGUGCCAAAGACCCCUGCAUGGCUGAAGUCUAACAGAGCUCUUCACUGAGCCACUCCAGGAAGGAUGAAGAACCCAGUACCACACAUGAGGAAAAGUCUGGGAGCACAGCCAACAGCAGCAGCAGGAAUAAAAGCCAAACACUGCGAUUCCAACCAGAACAAUUCUUCCCUCUUCCUGCCAUAGGAACUUAAAAAGCCCCCUGGAAAGCCUUGGACUCAGGGCGAUCCUGAAUAACACACACCUGUGGGUUAUUUACCUAUUGCUGCGCUAUGAAGUUGGAUUUCAAAAUAAGAAGAAAGAGAAAAGUGCAAGGAGUUCAUGCAGUCGUGACUGCAAGCAGCAGCAAUCCCAGUGUGCCCUGACCUGCUGUCUGCGAGAGCAGGAGCACUCAAGAAACCAUCCAGUUUGUAUCAACUGAUGAGCAGAUGAGGGGAAUACCAUCCCAAACUUCAGAGCUGGUUCAGAACCCACACAAGGUACUCAAGGGAAACCCUUCCUUAGAUGAGCAGAUCCCCUCCAUUCCAUUUGUGUUGGACUUCCCUGCUUACAGGUGCAUUCCUUUGCUUUGAAUUUUCCUUUCAGUGAGCAGAGUCCUGGGGAGCUGACCUUCCUUCGGUAACUGAGAGAAAUUCUCUGGUAAACCAGACCAAGUGGUCCAUACACAGAUGCAGAAACUAAGGCAAAGGGGGUAAGUGAGAAAGGUAGGUAAAGGACACUAAAAUGCAGUUAAUUCAAGUAGACUUUGAAUUUGUAAUAGCUGCACAAAUUUUUGUGCUGCAUGAUAUUUAUCAGCCUGAGAUUUUUCCUUCCAGACCUGUUGCAGUAUUCAUCCUCUCUGCUAUCCAACAGGGAUGGCAAAAUCAAAAAUCAAUGCAAGUCUUAAUGCUCUGCUACUGAAAUGCUCAGACUUUCUUUGAUAUCCCCAUUUUGGAAAUAAAAAAAUCCAAGAACAGGAAAAAAACCACAUGGACAUUUUCAAAGCCACAGGAAGCUCUUUUCACUGGUAAGCUGAAGUAAAUCAAGUUGUUUAAUUUAUCAAGAUGACCACAGAGAUGGGAUUUAAUUGCUGUUAUGUGAAUAGUUUAUUGUUAGCUGAAAGGAGGGAUGGUGAAAGGGCCCCUAAUUUUUCAGGGAAGAGCAUGAAGUAUUCUGAUUUAUGAGCAAAUUCUAAUGACACACCAUGCUGAAAUCUAUAAUAUGUCAAAAGUGAUGAAAUGAGCAGAACAGUCCAAAGAGACAAAAGGCAAGUUUAAUUUUUCUCUACCUUAUCAUAUCUAACUUCUGGAAACAAUACAGGAGAAUACUGCAAGUGAAACUACAUGCAGUAGAGGGUUCAAUUCUUUAUUUGUGUUACUCUGUGAUACAUUUGACUGGGGAUUCUUUACCUUUUAAAAAGUGAAAAUGGACACAUGAGCUUGGGGCUCUGAGCUAGAAGUGUUUUUUAAUAAUCUGAAAUGUGUACUAAGCUUGGUGUGAUAUCUAGGUAAAAAAAAAAAAACCAAACCCAAAGUUAUUUCAUCUGAAUUUCUUGUUUCUUCCUGCUCUGUUCCAGUCAGUUCUGGUGGCAUUUGAAGUGUCACACUAUUGGUGUGUGAAUGCAAAACAACCUCAGUGUUGGAGAACUGUCUAAAAUUCAUCCCAGAUCUCUCAAAUUUCGCUUCUGUACAGAGAGAUCUUCUCUGCAGACAUCUUCAGGCACAGAGAUAGUGUGAAAAACUGCAAAAUAUCUUUUUAUAGCUUCAGAAUGAAAAGUGUAAAGAUACAGCUUGGUAAUUCAUUCAAACUUUAGAAAGUUAUGAAUAUGCUUACAUUUAGGUCACUAUUUACAUAUAUGGGAGCUUUUCAGAGGGAAAGCCUUUUUAUAAAUUCUGUUUGAGGGAAAAGUAAAUUGCUGAUAACUGUUAAAAUUUCUUUGAAAAACUCCUUAAACCAGUUCUUACUAUGGCUUUCCUAGAAGGAGCUUUCCUAGUUGCCUGAUAAGUAAGCCAUUGCAAAAUAAAAAGAUUAUUCAGAAUUGUAUUUUCACCCUCAGUUUUGUGUGUGGGCCCUUAGAGUCUGCUUGGACUGUGGUCAAAUGAAUAAAGGGAUUAACAUCAACAAUUUUUCCUAUGGAGAAGCUGAGGUUUCCCAGUGGCUGCUUCCACCACAUUCAAGCUGCAGAGGAAUUUGGCAUAAAUAACCUCCUACAACACAUGUAACAAAGAUUUAGAAGUGCCUGUUAAACAAAAGCAUCUUAACACCAUUUUUUUUAUUAAAAAAAAGAGAACUCAAGGACAUGUGGCAUGUUCAGAUAAUAACGAUAAAAGAAAAGCUUGGAUGAAACAAAACCUUGUAGUAACGCCUGUAAAAUCCCCUGGCACCAUCAGGUUUUGCAGUGUUUCACUCCAGCUUGCACUUAUGCUAAUGAACACUUGAAUAUUUCAGUGGUUCUGUGUGUUUGCUUCAGCCUGACCCAACAGUAUGCUUUUAAGGUCUCAUGCUCUGGGAUAAAAUGAUGCCUACACGUGGAGCACAUGUUCCUUAUUCCUCACUUUUAGGAGUCCCUGGGACCAAGCCUGCUUGUUGAGAGUUGUUAUUUUUUCCUACAGCUGAUGGGCUGCUGCUAUUGCAGACAUCUCUCCAAUGGUCAGUGGGAUGAUGAGACAAACACCUGUUUAUUUGCAGAUGGUGCCCUGCACAGUUCUGUGAGGUAUGUGUUAAAUAGCCUUGAAUGACUUGGAAGCAGUGCUGGAAAAAAUAUCAACAUCAAAACUUUCAGCAGUUCCACUCCCAUCAGAUUUUUAGACCUGGCUGGGCAUAGCAGAGCACAGAAAGGGGAGGAUUUCAAGAUUGCAAAUGUUCUGAGGCUGCUAACGUGCCAUUUUUCAGCUUUGAAAGAAGUCUCCUGUAAUACAGAAAUGAAGAGGUUUACCCAGCAGAAAAUAAGUGUUGCCACUUUAUUGUUUUUGGCAGGAGAUGGUGGUUUAUCAUUUGGACACAUCAGGUACUUUCCUUGUGACUAUCAUGUAAUUUAAAUGACAGUGCUUCAAAUGGUGACAAAAUGACAAAGCACUGAUCUGUGGUGGAAGGCUGGCUUGGAGAGAGAGCUGCAGCCAGGCAAAAUUAUUUUGAAAGGGAGUGGGAAGAGCACUUUGCUUUUGGUUUAUUUAUUUACUGGGUUUGCUGACUCACUAGCAGGGAACCAGGAGCUGUGAACCUUGAUGAGAAUGUCUCCAGUUUGUGUUGUAUUGUGUCCAUGGCACUCUGCUCCAACAUUUUGAGGACUUAUUUAGACAACAUCGUUCAUCCCUGUGAAAACUGCUGAAAUCAACCCUGGUGCAUUUGCUGUGGCUGCAAUACUUGUAUCCAUCCAAAUAGUGAUAGAAAAGUUAAAACCCAAGGCAUCAUUUGUAAAGAAAAAAAUUCAUGGUUAAAACUCACUGCUGGUUUGAAUUGUCACAGUUGCUUUUGAGAUUCCUAUGUAGCAGAGAGUUUUGCAUUUUGGAGAUACAUGUUCUGCUGGACUUCCCUAGCCUUAGAAAUUCCUGGAAGUGCACGGUAAUUGCCUUGUGACAAACACUGUGAGCUGGUCAGUGACAAUAGCUGGUGAUGGGAAAGUAUCCACACAUCUGGGAAUUCACUGCUGCCUUCAGAGAUCCAUAAUCCUACACAAACUUUUUUCCUCAGAGCCUUGAGUGCAUCUUAGAGGAUGGGAGUAAGGAUAGAUUUUGUGGUCACAAAAACAAAAAAAAAGUGUCUUUUGUAGAAAAAUAGUGUAUGUUAUAAAUAUGGUGAUUAUAUGAAGUCUAGUAAAAGUCCAUCUGACUAAAACACAUUCGUUUCAGCAAGGACUGAAGUUAAAUGAUAUUCUUAAAGUGUACAAACACAUACCAGACAAGUGUUAGUGAAUGAUAUCUUAGAAACUAUCUUAGAAACUGGAGCUACUGCCAAAAUGUAACACAGCUCUUUAAACUGAAAUUAAUAGGCAUCAUGUGCCACUUGAUUUUUCUUGUGCCAUUUUCGCUGCUGUUCACAGGAAAGGCUGUGAAUGUGGGAUUGAUUUACAGUGGGAAUGAGGCCUGGGAUUAUCCUGUUCCUCAUCUUGCCAAUGGGAUUUCUUUAAAAGCAUCCCUGCCCUCCUUCCCACCCCAUGUUCCUGGGUCAGCACAUGUGGGGAGGUGAGGGAAGUGUUAAAACAAAUUUUUAUGUGCUGGCCCUGUAACCCAGUAUGAAAUCACUGAUACUCAGGUCCAGGAGGAAGUAUCUUUCUCUGGGCAUUUAGGAGAUGUGAAUUCUCUGAUGAAUUCUCUGACUGACUGGUGUGUGCUUGUGCUUUACAGGUUUGAUCUAUUCAGUGGCCAUGGCCAGCUGUAAAGUGCCAUCAGUGGAACAGCAUCAUGACUGGAGCUGCCCAGCACCCUCCAGAUGAACGAGUGGCUCUGCAGGUGCUGCUGGCCUGGUGGCAAUUCUGGAAAGCAAUGCCAGCUCCUGUGGAUGGUGGGAUCUUGGUCAACACAUUAUAUGGUGUUAAGGAAAAAGCUUUUGUGCCUAGGAAUUAUUCUAUGGCUCUGUUCAGUUUGAACUGCUCUCAUUUUUUUGUGAUUUGCUUAUAUUUCUGAACAAAGAUAAACUGUCAGCCCCCCCAGAAAGGGCUCAUGCCUACCCCUCUGAAACAAAGCAUUAAAUCCCAAACCACCUGUGCUGUAGGAGACUCAGAUUUGCCAAGUCCUGCUCCAAAACUGCUUCACUGGUGUGACUGGUCAGUGAUGCACUUCUGAGAUUUAAGAUCUAGUUUCUUGCUUCUACCUUGCAGCCUGUGGUUUUAAUCUUCUGUGGAGCUGUGCUGAACAGAACAGCUGGCCUGAAAUUGGAGGAGAUUGCUGCAACCACUUAUCUCUGUGGGUGUUACUCCUGCUCUCAGCAUUAUUGCAGUUAAAAUGGUUAUCAUUUUCAUCUACAGUGGCUUCCUAAGACAAAAAUAAGCAUGUGCCACUUACCUUUUCAGUGUUAUUGAAUCAUUUCAGUAUAGAAUGAUUUACUUUUUUUUUUCUUGGCUUUUUUCCCUGCUGAUCCAGGAGAAGUUGUGCAUUGUUAUCGCUCUCACGCUAUUUAGCAGAAGGGAGCAGGAUCUAAAUAAGCUUAAAAGUUUCUGAUUACCAUGAUUGAAGUGUCAAAAUCCUUUACUCUAACAAUUGAAAAAAAAAAAAAAGAGAGAUCCAAAUUCUUUUAUAACCAUGCAUCCAAAUUCUAGAGGUUAUUCAGAUCUCACUCCACUGCCUGCUUUUCAUGCCACAUUACUUUUCUUCUAACUUUGAAUGGCCCUGGGGGGGUGCCCCUCUUGUUGAGUCAUAACUCAUAAAAUUGGGAAGCCAUACUGAGUGGUCAUAGUUCAAGAAAGUUUUGGAAGAGGAUUUAUAUUGAGAGAUUAGGACUUGAAAAUCUGAUUUCCAUUAUUAUCUUUAGAAAAAAAUUCUAGUGGGACCUUAUAUGAUCCUUUAAUCAGUCUGAGUGUGGUCUGCAUCCUGCCAAGGCUAAUAAAGGUGUUUAUUUUGACUUUGGUGAACUUCCUCAUCCACUAAGUGGGGCCAUUGCUUUCUUGUUUCUCUUCUUUUUCUGUCUAACAAAUGCCUAAUGUACAUUUAGGCAUCCAGGAACAACCAAACACACAAGUAAUACAUACAAGUAAUGCUUCUAAUGCAGGAAGAGAAACCUUUUGAAGGUCAAGUUACCCCACAUCCAGAAAGCAUUUGUCAUGCCCUGGGAAUUGAUCUGAAAUCUGAUCCAUCUUGGAGAAUAAACCACCCCAGAAAGAUUGCAUUAGGAUAUCUCUUACAGAAAUUCCCUGUGGAGCUGGUUUCCUGGAAGCAGCCCUAGGUGUGGUGUGGGUAAUGGGGCUGGGGUUCUGGGAGGGGGAUUGUGUCUGAGCAGCAGCAGGGACAUCAGAAAGAGCAGGGAAUCCAUCAGUGCUGGCACAGGGAGGGACUGAAGCCCCUCCUUGCAGCUCUGGAGAGCUGGGCCACUCUUCAGGGAUAUCCUCACAAAUGUUAGCACAUGGACCUCCUCCUGCAAGUUUUAAUGCCAGUACUUUCCACUGGAUAACUUUUAAUAUACAAAUGAUAUCAGCUCCAUGAAAACUUUAAAAUAGGAAGGAAGAGGAUGAUUAAGUCCUGAGGGUUGCUCCCAUAUUAGAGCUCCUUGUACUGCAAAGGCCAUGUAAAUAAAAAAUGAGCAUUUGACUGUUUCAUAAAGCUAAGCAUAUUUGAUAGUGUCAGAUCAUAAAACCCUUGUCUUUUGGGGAGCUAGGUGUGGUAAUUGUAAGUGUGUCAGAUUUAUUCUAGGAAUUCUUUGUGUUCAUAAUUUGUAAUUGCUUUUAUUACUUGUAACUCAAGGCAGAUGUGCAUAAAGCAAUCAGUAAUUUGUCCUCUAGCCACAUGAUUUCAUGUAACUGAGCCAGCACAGAAAGGAAGCAAAGCCCCAGGAUGAAAGCUCUGCCUGGAAUUACCUGGGAUUAAAUGGUGAACACAAAAAGGGUGUUAAUAAGAAAAUAGUUGAGGGCUAGCACAGUUCUCCCCUGAGGAGAGGCUAAGACACAGCCUUAUACCCUGGUGGAUCUGCUCUGUGCCUCUUUAGCCAUUUUUUGUUUAAAUGGCUUGUGCCAAUGUGGGCUGGAACAAAUGGAAUGGACGUAGGGGGUAGGAAAAACACCCCUUCUGCUCUAAUGUUCAGUUUAAAGGGAUUUCCAGACAAAAAGAAAGCUGAAUACAGUGCACAAUACAAUUCCAGCUAUGGAAAGGAGCUGGCUUGGAAAAGAAGGUGGCUGAGACUGAAAGCAAACAGAGCACAAGAGAAAUGUGAAGUGCUGACUUAUAAACUGUGUAUUUCUCCUGCUCUGUCACUUUAUUCAUAAUACUCUGUCUUUAAAGUAAAUAAAUAAACAGUCUGGAUUGUUUCUCCCAUUUUUCUUUUGCCAUUUGUAUACUUUAUUCAAACCAUUUCUUUUGAACAGCUUUUUGUCUUUCUUUCCAUGGCAACAAAGAGCCAGGGUUCCUUUGCAAAAGCAACACACACCCCCCCCUCUUUGUGCUAAGGUGGGUACAAAUCCACACCUGUUGUUAGCACUGCUACCAUCAUUGACCAGUAAUGAUGAUAAUGAGACAGCUCCAGCAAUGCAUUAUUAAUAUGAUGGUGUUACCCACAGCAAAUGCUGACCUCUGGGUUUUAUUACACUAAGGCAGCCUUAAAAUCUUCAAAUCAUUUACAGCUUUAUCACACAUUUUCAGGAGCUGUUAUUGCUCAGCCAUUCCUCUUUUUCUUCCUCUUGCCUUCUCUGAUGAGCAAGGAUCUUUGAUGCUUCCAUUUUCUCACUGGUGAAAGGAUCAAACAGCCCAAAAUCCACAGGGCUUUGAAACAGGAGGAGCACUGCAACAGGGAGAUGAGAGUCAGUGAGAACAGACAUGCAUUGGUCUGGAGCUUCAUUGUAGCUGAUAUUUGUGAGCAUAAAAGCAUUAAGGAGAAGUAACAAUGGCAUUUUUAGAUAAGAUAAUAGUGGAUUUUAAAAAGUUAAUUUUGUGCUAAAUACCACUUACUAUUAUGUCUUGCAGUAAAUUUCUAACUAUUGUGAAGUGAUAAUCAGUUUUCUUUCCUGUGAAAGGAUCCAUAGUCUGAGGAGACUCUUGAGUGGCAGCCUAGAUAUGAGAAAUGUUAUUUGAAUUAGGCAUUCUUAUCCAUGUUUAUAGUAUCUCCCUUUUAGGCCUUCUUCAGAAAAGAACAUGCAAUAAAAAUGUUACUGCACCAGCUUGUAUGCCUGAAAGGUCAAUUCUUCUUUUUGUUCUAACUUCAUCAGUUUCUUUAAUAAAAGAUAUUAACUCUCUUCACAAACCUGUCUCACAGAGAGAAGAAAAAUAUCCCCAGCUCCAAAGAAAAUAUCACUUCUAUUUAAUGAUUAAAACAAAUCAGUGUGAGAGAAGACAUAAGGCAGCUACCAGAAAAUUCUGGGAGGACAUUACCCCUGACACCCCCAUGUGUUUCCACAGGCCAGUCAGCUGCUUCUGAUUUCUCCUUGAAGCAGCUUUUUUGCAGAGGGCUGCAGCCAGGAAGCUGCACAAUUGCUGUCAAAGGAAGGCCAGUCCAUGACAAAAAGGCUUGUUGGGCUCUCCUGAAAAAAAUAUAUACCAAAAAAAUAUACCCAAAGGAUUUUGAAUAAGCAGGUGAGUCUCACUCUUCUUUUAUGUCUUCCCAUUUCACUAAAACACAAACCACUCACUAAAUUCAUGUAAUUUGAGUCAAAUUGGUAUAAAUGCCUGUAAAAAAUAGGGAUAACACCAAUGAUGAUAAAGAAAAACCAGCUACAUGUUACCAAUCAAAUACAUCAGUAGAUUUGGGAGAAACAGCUGGAUUUGUACAAACAGGCUGUUUGUGCUUUGCUUCUUCACAUAGAAUCUCCAGAGGCAAAUAAAACACAAGUAAUUAUGGGCAACUUCAGGUAAUCUUCAGUUCUUUCACUUCACCCAAAUGGGACUUAGCACCCAAAUUUCAAAUGCAACCACAGUCUGCUGUGAAACUGCACUGCCCAGGCUGUUGGCUCUGCUAAAGGCAAAAGAAAGAGAGGUUUAAAAGGUGAGUUCAGGCCAGCAGAAAGAUCUGAUGUGCUGCCUGUGCCUGUUCCAGCUACUCUUUUAUUCCUUUUUUUUUUUUUUUUAAAGACAUUUUCUCUUUGGGCACUCAGAAGCUUUUUACCAAAAUCAGGUUUAAUUUAUUAAACAGAUUUAUUUCUGUACCAGUGUUUCAACCCAAAUACUUAUUGCCUUAUCUUGGUGUUUUCUUCACUGAUGUAAUUGAAAGAUAUUCUUGCACUUCCUUGACUUGAAUUUUGUUAAAUAAGCCCAGCAAAGCUAUUUGAACAUGUCUCUGACAGAGAUCCUGUCCUUCCUGUAAUCAGCCUAGCAGUUCCUUUGUUAUCCAGUCCAAAAUAGUGAUGUAAAAGUUCAAGGGGACUUUUAACACUGCUCUAAAUGAAAACAUAUCAAUAGCUUUUACAAGAUUUUUUUUUUUGAUUGUGCCAGAAAUCAUUACAUGAAAAGUGCACUGGUUUUUUUUCUUGUCAGUGGCAAAUGUCUGGGUCACAGGCACUGUAAACCUGAAAUACUCCCAGGCCUUUCUUCUUUGUUUUUUUAUCUUCUGUAACUUCCAAAUUAUGAACUGUAGAAGUUUUUGUCCCCUGGGACAUGAAUUUAUGCAGUACAUCUUGUGACAGUAGGAUCCAAAGUACAUUUCCUUGCAUAAUUAAGUGAAUCUUGUUUUUGUUGUCGUACCUGUUGAAAGACAUUUAGUUCCCUGUUUAUACUGAGGCAGCCUUGACUUCUGUUUAGUUGAAAAUUUAAAACAGGGAGAAUUUUCCCACACGUUAAUGAAUAUUUUAAUCAGUAUUGAACUGCAGCUCUCCUUUUAUAUCCCCUACCCUAAUUUAUUUCUGCCUCUGAGUGCUGUACAAAACCCAUAAGGGGGACAAAGCCUGAGUAGACAGACUUCAAAUGAACAUUUUAGAGCUUUAUCUUGAGAGGAAACCUUUGUAAUUUGAAUAUACCCACGUUGAGAAGAGCUAUUAAAACACAUGGUUCUCUGAGCCACUGCUUCACCUCCCCACCCUGUCACACAACAAGCAGUGCACUCCAUUCCUGUUGAGAAAUUUAAAUUGUGAACUCUUUGGCCCAUGGGUUGUUACCUUUUUGCUUGCUGCUUUCACCCUUUUUAGUCCAAGAAGCCAGAGACCUUGACUGGACACAAAACCCACACCUCACACAAAUUAUCCCUGAAGUAUUUCCAGAGCCUGUCUUUGGCAUCACACAAGUUUAUUCACCCACACUGGAUGUGUCUCCAGCUCAAGGCAAACUAAACUUCUUGCAUGAUGCUCUGUCUUAUUUAUGAAUAUUUCAGUUUCUAACCUAAUCUGUGCCUACUGGACCUUCUGUUUCUCACCAUUUUUAAGGACAAAUCAGUAAUUUCAAAAACCAAGAAUGCUUUCCUGAGUGGCCACCUGGCAAUAUGCAGACUCUGAGGCAAAGACUCAAAAAAAAUUAGUGACUUUAUGCUCCUACCUUAUUACAAGAUAAUAAACACCACACCCAUAAAUUUUACUAAGCUGGAAACAGACUGGAAGACAAAGGAAAACGAUCUCUAAAAGCUUAAGAAAUAUAAUUUUACAUGUUGAAUGCCUCUGUGUUUUUAAGAUUUUUAAAAACUGAACCAAAGUGUCUAAGAUUUAAAUGCCAUCUUGAGCUGUCAAAAAUCACUACAGAUGUAGGUAAAAUUAUUUUUCAUGUAGCAGAAUCCAAUUCCUGUGUCUUGCAGGGUUUUGGACACAAAACUGGCUGACAACUCACACUGCAGUUAUAUGAAAACAUCACUGUCAAAAGCACAGACAAUUGAAACAUUUUUCUACUACAUUUGUGGCAAAGAAAAGACUUUUUAAAAGCUUAUAGUUGUAAAAAAUAGAACAUAUAUGAGAAAAACAAUGUUUUAAGAUUACUUCUUUUGCCAAGUAUGAUGUAAAAGCAUCAGAAACAGAUACUGCACUAUUUCAAGAAGUCAGAAGAAGGUAAAGACUUGCAAUUUGAUGUCAUUAUAUGAACACACUCUUAUAAUAUUGUCACCAUCUACUACUUGAGACAAUGAAACCAAUCCAAAAACUUCACCUUAAAAAAAAUAGCAUUUUAUACUGGGGACAAAAUGGAUACAUAUGGCAACCCAGUGCACUAUUCAAAUUAAUCCAGUCAAUUCAUAUUUAAAACAUCAAUAUUCUCAAAUUUAGGAGAAAAAAAACUCUUUAAAUAAUCCCCCUAUAGAUGGCACUGCAAUUAGUAACAUGCUGAGUGUAAAAUGUGAAGGGUUUUUCCUUCUCCUGUUAUGGUUUAAUAUGUCUGAAGUAUUCUCUUGCAGAUUUCUCUUUUAAAGUCCAAAUAACUUCAAGAACAUGGGCUUUUCAGUGUGAAGUUGUUGAUACUGUCAUAAGUGUUAUUGUUAUUGUCAUUGUGCCUUAAAACCCAAAUGAGGAAACUACUUCAUUAUCUAGAGAAUAGCAACCACUCAAGAUAUGGAAUGGGAGGAAUAAAGGGAAGAUCUUUACCUCUAGACUUUCAGAACUUGAAUGACAUCUAGUAUUCAGAAUAUAUGAAACACUGCAAAAUAUCACUGUUCAGUGGGGAAAAUAAAAGAGGGAGAGAGACAAAGCAGGAUUUGAGAUUAAUUCUUGGAUGCUUUUGAAGGACAAAUAAGAUAAAUGUCUGCAAGUACAAUGCAGAUGCAAGGGGCAUAAAGGUGCAAGGGGCUUUUAUAGCACAUUGGAGACUUUGUUUUGUCAUAGAAAUUUAUGUUGAAAGGCUUUCAACAUAACCUCAACACUUGCCUACAAUUUAAUUUCUUCCUUUAUUGAGACCACAGAAAGUUUUCACAAUGGAAAAGUACAGACAGCUGGAGGGAAAGAAACCUCACUUAAACACUACUGAAUGAAACACAGAUGUAGAAGGACAGCAGAGGUUCUUUUUGGUGGCAAUUAUGGUUCUGACAGUCUUUAAUGUGAUUUCCUACAUCAAGAGGAGCCAUCAACAAAUAAGCAUUUCCAAAUUUUCAUUGCUAGAAAUGUCCUGUUCAGUUCUCCUAAAGGCGCAGAUAAUGUACAGGGUGUGGAGGAAAAGUGCUCUUUGCCUCAUGCUGUUGGUUCUCACCCACUACAUGGUGUUUGCUGAUAUGAUCACACCAUUUUCUAUGGCAAAAUGAGUUUGGUCAAAGGGUUCAGAAUGUAAUUAAGAUCAGCCUAGAAUAGUCCAGUGCCAUCCUUAAUUUUGGAGAGGAUGGAGAUCCAGGUUACUCUUAUCCCUGUAUCCAUCAAGCUACUGGCAGUUUUGAAUUAAUGGCAAAAUGGAAUUGCUCAGGAGUUUUCCCAUUCUUAAAUAUUUUACCCCUUAGUGCUUCCAUUGGCAAUGUGUACUUCAAAGAGAUGAGAAUAUAGGUGAUCCUGUAAAGUAUUUUCAGACUAAGACUAUUGUGACAUGUAUUUCACACUCAGUUAUUGAUGCAUUAGGGAAUGAAAAAUAUUAGAGACAGAAGGCACUGAUAAGACACUCUGUUUAUCUGAACUGAGUAUGCAAUCUGACUGGAAAUUUCAUUUAAGUGUCUUUGGAAUUAAAGGCAGUUAUCUGACCUCAAUGCUUAUGGUUUUCUUAAAAUUGAUAUUGUAAGCAAAAAAAAAAACCAAGCUGAAGUAUAAAAAUUUCCCAAAGACCAAAGAUUAUCACAGCACUUUUGAAACUGCACAAUUAUAAUGUUAUUUGAAGUUAUCUCCUUCUCUGUCUUCUAUUUCUCCUUUUCACAGGAAAAUUGAGCUGCUUUCUUUGUGGGGCCAAAGACUGAACUCACAUAGAACGAACUCAGGAAACCUCAAUGCCUUUUUGGGACAAGCCAUGUCAUUCCAGAGCACUGUGAGGAAAAGGAACCAGGCUGCUUCUGCACUGUAGAGCUACUACCACCUUUCUGCAAGCUUAAGGCUAGACCUGAUGGAAAAAAGGAUUCCCAGUCUGCCCCCAAGAUGUUAAAUACACACAGACAGCCAAUCCAAAUAAUAUGAAAUUAAAUAACAUCCUCUAUUCUGCACAAUAAAACCAACUUGCUACAGUUGUGUCAUUAAAUGCCACAUGCAGAGAGGAUCAAGAAUCAGAGCAGCCCAUAGAUUUUUCUCCAGUCCUGCCAGCAGCAGGUCUGCCUGCAACAAGGAAUUCCUAUAUCCAUGUGUUUCCUGUCAGCCUGUGUGACAAAUGCAGCCCAGUCUUUGUGCUCCCAGCUAACAGAGAGAGUAAAUGAUAUAUAAGGAAAGAUAUAUAAAGAUAUACAAAGAUAUAUAAAGCCCUUCCUUGUUCCCAUCCAAGGGUAGAAGUCAUGGCACAAAGACAAAUGGUCAGGGAGAGCCAGCCACUGCAGCUGUGAGCUGAUUCAGAAAAAGCACAGCUUUAUUUUAUGUUUAUGGCUUUGAACCUGAGCUAAAUGUGUUUGUAAAUGACUGGAGUGCCAUUGUGGCUUGGCUCCUGUCUCCUGCUGCAAGCCAGGCUGGUGCCACAAGACCUCAAUCCCCUCUGGGGGCAUCCAGAUGUUCGCUGUCCCAAACAGCAAAUUCCCAGAAAGACUGGGGAGACCUGGGAAGAGACUGGCUCAGGAGGAUUCCAGUGUGUCUGCAAUGAUCUGCCAGUGGUGUAGGACUUCCACUACCACUAUGUCCAAAUUUGUCCUCCAAGUGGCAAUGACAAAAAACCUGGCUAUCAUUUUAUCAUUUGUGCAAGGCUCAGCUUCCUAAAUUGCAGCGAAGAAAAACUAAAGGUCACACCAGAGUAAAAUUUCACUUUUGCUCCUCCUGACUUGGUCUAUCCCCUUCUACUUCCCACAUUCUAGCAGAGGAAAGGUCCAGACUCCUGUAGAAAUAUAUGGUGGUCUCAGUAAAACAUUUUACACAAAGAAGCAUAUCAGAGGAAACUGAUAUAAUUAGCCUCAUCCCCAGACAGAAGGUGGAGUUGGUGUCCCUUGACUCCUCUCACUGUUGAAGAUUUCCUAAUGGGAAUGAUGACCCACUAGAUGGGGUCAGACCUGUCUCACAGCAGUGGCCAUGAAGUCCUGAUGCUGACACCAACUUGAGAGCCUGGGUUGGGUCCAAGGUCCCAUCCUAUGUUUUUACUGAUGAUUAAACUUGAGCAUUAUUAAACCCAGCCAGACAUUGGGCUUUUAAGCUCAUACACCAUGUUCACCACUGAACCACUGCUUGUGAUAUGUGUUCCUGUUAAAUAAUACACAAACCUGCAAUUUCAGAAAUUAAAUGUGACAACUCUCAGGCAACUGGGGCAGCAAUGAUCAUUCUAGAAUAACAGCUCUGAGGUAGGAGAUGCUGUACACUGUUGUUACAGGGCCUGUGUCCAUAAAGCUCCUGUAAAAUCCAUAUGCACAGCAACCAUUUGCAAGUGGAAACAGUGGCUGAUGUGUGCAAUUGUUUAUUCUGAAUACAGAACAGACAUCUGCAUGAGCAAAUCGAUGUGCAUGCAAAUUUCCUCCAGAACUCACACAGACAGUUUUGAGCCAAAGUCACAAAUGCGUUUUGGAAUAUUCCUGUUGAUUUCAGGGAUUUUGCCCACAGAUGUUAUUUCCACACCAUUGACUUUACUCCACUGUUCUUAAAUAUCAAGUAGAAUCUUAAGUUUUCUUUACUUACAGCACAGUUAAAUUUAUAUUGAGUCAAACCAAGCCCAAAUACUCUAAGAAGGGAUAAUCUCAAAAAGUAAGCUUGAUAGUCAUUAAAUAAUAAAACAUGAAUCAUGCUGCUAUUUAUCUUCUCCUGCAGCGGAUAUUUGCAAGCAAAAAUCAGGCAUCUCUUCUAUUUAUUUACCUAUUGUCCCCUCCAGGAAGUCUGUUUAAUGAGGGGAAAAAACCUCCAAAGUCUUAAAACCUAUGUGUAUAUCUUAAAGCUUUUCAGUAAAGAAAACUCUUCCUAAAACUCAAACGUGUCUCACAUUUAUAUUUUGCUGUUGCUGCUAGCGGGAAAAAAAA